GAUGAACGCUAGCGGCAGGCUUAACACAUGCAAGUCGAGGGGCAGCACGGGUAGCAAUACCUGGUGGCGACCGGCGCAAGGGUGCGUAACGCGUGAGCAACAUGCCCUAUACAGGGGGAUAAUCCAGGGAAACUUGGUCUAAUAUCCCAUAGCAUUUAGAGGUGGCAUCACCAUUAAAUUAAAGCUUCGGUGGUAUAGGAUUGGCUCGCGUGACAUUAGCUAGAUGGUGGGGUAACGGCUCACCAUGGCUAUGAUGUCUAGGGGUUCUGAGAGGAAGACCCCCCCAACUGGGACUGAGACACGGCCCAGACUCCUACGGGAGGCAGCAGUGAGGAAUAUUGGACAAUGGAUGGAAAUCUGAUCCAGCCAUGCCGCGUGCAGGAAGACGGCCCUAUGGGUUGUAAACUGCUUUUAUAUGGGAGCAAUAAGGUCUACGGUAGCCGAUGAGAGUACCAUAUGAAUAAGCAUCGGUA
rnacentral:rRNA from 1 species